UGUUUUACAUGGAUAACUGUGGUAAUGCUAGAGCUAAUACAUGCAAGGAAGCCCCGAUUAUAAGGGUGCAUCUAUUAGACUAAAACCAAUACGGGCGCAAGCUCGUAAACUGGUGACUCUGAAUAGCUGAGCUGAUCGUAUGGUCUUGUACCGGCGACGUGUCUAUCAAGUGUCUGCCCUAUCAACUUUGGAUGGUAGUUUAUGUGACUACCAUGGUUGUAACGGGUAACGGAGAAUAAGGGUUCGACUCCGGAGAGGGAGCCUGAGAAACGGCUACCACUUCCAAGGAAGGCAGCAGGCGCGCAAAUUACCCACUCUCGGUUCGAGGAGGUAGUGACGAUAAAUAACAAGGACGUCCUCAAUGAGGACGGCCAUUGGAAUGGGCAAAAUUUAGACCCGUUUGCUAAAGUCAAUGAGAGGGCAAGUCUGGUGCCAGCAGCCGCGGUAAUUCCAGCUCUCAAAGUGUAUAUCGUUGUUGCUGCGGUUAAAAAGCUCGUAGUUGGAUCUUUGCCGAAGGUGCUGGUCCGCCUUUUUGGCGUGAACUGGUCACCUAGGCGUAUUGUGCUGGUUUAGCUUGUGUGGCCUUUAGUGGUUGCACAAGGUGGCUGGCGAGUUUACCUUGAAAAAAUUAGAGUGCUUAAAGCGGGCAUACGCUUGAAUAGUUGCGCAUGGAAUAAUGGAAUAGGAUCUUGGUUCUAUUUUGUUGGUUUCCUGGACUAAGAUAAUGGUUAAGAGGGACAGACGGGGGCAUUCGUAUCGCUACGUGAGAGGUGAAAUUCUUGGACCGUAGCGGGACGCCCGACUGCGAAAGCAUUUGCCAAGAAUGUCUUCAUUAACAAGAACGAA
rnacentral:rRNA from 1 species